rnacentral:lncRNA from 1 species
AUGGCCUUCGUCUCCCAGCUCGCCUGCAUCUACCUGGCCCUCAUUCCGCACGAUGAUGAGGUGACCGUCACGGAGAAUAAGAUCAAUGCCCUCAUUAAAGCAGCCGGUGUAAAUGUUGAACCCUUUUGGCCUGGCUUGUUUGCAAAGGCCUGGCCAAAGUCAACAUGGGGAGCCUCCUCUGCAAUGUAGGGGCUGGUGGACCUGGUCCAGCAGCUGGCUCUAUCUGUACCAGCAGGAGCUUCUGCCCGCCUCUGCUGCUGCUGCUCCAGCUGAGGAGAAGAAAGUGGAAGCAAAGAAAGAAGAAUCCGAGAAGUCUGAUGGUGACAUGGGCUUUGGUCUUUUUG